rnacentral:tRNA from 3 species
GCGAGCGUAACUCAGUCGGUAGAGUGUCAGCUUCCCAAGCUGAAUGUCGCGGGUUCGAAUCCCGUCGCUCGCU